rnacentral:rRNA from 1 species
AGUGAACGCUGGCGGUAGGCCUAAUACAUGCAAGUCGAACGGCAGCACAGUAAGAGUGUGCCUUUACGGGUGGCGAGGGGCGGACGGGUGAGGAAUACAUCGCAAUCCACUAUUUCGGGGGGGAUAACGUAGGGAAACUGACGCUACUAGCGCAUAUGUCCUACCGGUGAAAUCAAUGGUGCUUCGGAGCUUGCGCGAUUGUAUGAGCCGACGUCGGAUUAGCUAGUUGGCAAGGUAAAGGCCCACCAAGGCAACGAUCCGUAGCUGAUCUGAGAGGAUGAUCAGCCACACUGGAACUGAGACACGGUCCAGACUCCUACGGGAGGCAGCAGUGGGGAAUCUUCGGCAAUGGGCGCAAGCCUGAUCCAGCCAUGCCGCGUGAGUGAAGAAGGCCUUCGGGUUGUAAAACCCUUUUGUUGGGAAAGAAAAGCAGCAUAUUAAUACCCCGCUGUUUUGACGGUACCCAAAGAAUAAGCACCGGCUAACUUCGUG